rnacentral:lncRNA from 1 species
ACCAAAAUAAGCAGCAUGACAAGUCAUUUAACUCUCAUGGAAAGACUACAAAGCUAAUAUUAUCAAAUGAAUAUACCCUUGGUAUCAUAGCAUUUCUGUAAAUUCCCUAGCCAAUUCCCAAAAUAGAAAAAAAUAAUAAUAAUAACAAUAAAGUAAUGAAAUCAUAGUUAAGAAAACUCAUUGAAAUUAGGCUUAUCUCGUGCAAUCAAAACUAGUGAGGCAAUUUAAGAAAUGCAUCACCGGCCUCUCGAACUGCAUUAUUUGUACAUGGAUGUCUUAACCAUAUAUUUGCCUAUUUCUAAUGCACUUCACAUAUAUGAAUAAGAGGUGGUUCUGGAUGCAAAUUACAUAUACAUGCACAGAAAUGGUCAAACAAUCUCCAGUAUGAUAUGACUUACUCAAUGCCAAGCAAUACAUGUUUAUUAUCAAGCUAGAACUAAGUAUGCAAGCAACAAAAAACAGGUGUUACUUACGGCUUAGAUUGAUGCAAUUAACCAAAUAGAAAAUAAAAGAAAACAACACAAAUGACAAAAGCACAAUAGAAAUCAUUAAUAUAAAUUGCCUCAUCAGAAAGGAACUCAAGAAAGACAAUAAUGAGAAAAUAAAAACAUGAAUCUGAAUGACAAAAAUUGAGAUCCAUAUCCUCUGAAACAUGUGUAAAUGGAUAUAUAGCUGUCAGAUAAAUUACCUUUACAGCUUCUUCCACCUUGAAACCCAGUAAUAAUAAAGCCUGCAAAGUGCAAAGAAAUGAACGAAUUAAUUUCAUCCGUUGGAACUCGAAAUAUGCUGGGUUAAUUUCAGAACUUGAUAUAAGUUUUAGAAAAAAAUUGCUGAAAUCAACAUUCUCUCAUGUAUUUCUGAAUUCUGACUUCAUACUUAAUGAGGUAAUAUAUUAUGCAUUGCAAAGAAGAUCCAAUGUGUCUCCACAGGAUUUAGAGUCCUGUUUCCAAAAAUUAUAUAGACUAGCCAUGUCAACGGACGGCUAUAGAAACAUCUGAAACCCAAAAAAUAGCAAUUUUGGAACUAUCACGUCACAUAAAUUAAAAAUAAAUCAAGUGAGAUGUCUGAGGAUCUCCAUUUUACCCACUUCUCCACUUUUAUUUGGCUUGCCUACAGGCCGGUAAAUCUGUUUAAUUGAAAGUGUUCUCACAUUUUUUAAUCGAAACUUUGUCUUAUAUUGAACAACAUAUAUAUUCAUGACAGCACAGAACUAACCAGAACUUACAGGUGGACCAUAGCAUGGAUCCUCAGAUUCUAAGGGAACAAACUUGGAAGUUUCAAUCAACU